GUAUUCCUGCUGAGAGUCAUUUCCUGUGCUGGAUUUACCAUCACAGGGACCAGAUUUAUAGAAAAAUGAACAUGUAUUGUUGCUAAAUGGAGUUGGUCAUGGAGUGGAAACUAACAAUAUGUUCACCUCAAGAAGACCCUCACCAGAUGCAGCCCCUCUAUGUUGGACUUCCCAGCCUCCGGAAGUUAGAAAUGUGCUACAACCACUCAAGGUCUGCAAACAGAUUCCUAUUUAGAUGUUGUUGAGAGUUUCGUUCUUGUCGCCCAGGCUGGAGUGUCAUUUUAAC
rnacentral:lncRNA from 1 species